CAUACCUUUAAAUAUCUCUAGUGAAUGUGAAGUUGAUACCUAAAUCAAAGCCAUGACGCAAAUGCAAUUGUCUCUCUUUAUAGCUAAUGCUAUGUACAUGGGUGGUCAAGAAAUGAAGAAUGUUCUGGAAAGAGACAACAUAACCAUCAAGAAUAAUCUUGAAAAGCUCAUAUUUUACUAUGGAACUACAGAUCAUUGGUGUCCUGUGCAGUAUUAUCUUGACAUCAAGCAGGACUUCCCACAUGGAGACAUCAGACUGUGUGAGAAUGGGUUCCGGCACGCCUUUGUCCUGGAUGCAGGAGGAGAAGUCGCCAAAAUGGUGGUAGAAUGGAUCCAUGGAGACUUGAAGACAUGAGUUCUUUAAUUUUUUCAUGUACUGAUGACCAUGAUGCUCUGCAGUGUCCAGACCUGCAGCAGUGUUCAGUGGCAAAGAUGGAUUUUUGUAUUAGCAGAGAUCAUGGAACUGAAUUUAAAUAGGACAGACUGUAUAUCAAAUAUUAAUUUUAAUAUAUAUUGUAUAAUGAUGUGAUUUGCCUUGCAAUUGGGGUGGACAAAAUGAUGGUGGUGGAACUUAUGUAGAACUUUGACUAUGGAAGUAGUGAAUGCAUUCUAUUAAAACCCUAAAUAGAGUGUUGUGAUCAGCAUCAGUCUCCAAAGAUAAAAUGAGAAACCAGAAAUCUGCUGUAGCACUUCUAAAAAUGGUGUUGUCAUUUUGCACAUUUUUAUUUUAUGGUAUCUUUAUUUCACAUUUUUUUCACAUAUAUAGUAAUGUGGGACAUUAAAUUUAUGCAUUCCAUAGUAUGAUGACUUAAUAAAAUGCCUUUUAUUUUUCA